rnacentral:rRNA from 1 species
UACACGACCGUACCGCAAACCGACACUGGUGCGCGAGAUGAGUAUUCUAAGGCGCUUGAGAGAACUCAGGAGAAGGAACUCGGCAAAUUGACACCGUAACUUCGGAAGAAGGUGUGCCUUUAGUAGGUGAACCUGUACAAGGGGAGCUCAAUGAGGUUGCAAAAAAUCGGUGGCUGCGACUGUUUAAUAAAAACACAGCACUCUGCAAACACGAAAGUGGACGUAUAGGGUGUGACGCCUGCCCGGUGCUGGAAGAUUAAAUGAUGGGGUGCAAGCUCUUGAUUGAAGUCCCAGUAAACGGCGCCCGUAACAAUAACGGUCCUAAGGUAGCGAAAUUCCUUGUCGGGUAAGUUCCGACCUGCACGAAUGGCGUAACGAUGGCCACACUGUCUCCUCCUGAGACUCAGCGAAGUUGAAAUGUUUGUGAUGAUGCAAUCUCCCCGCGGAAAGACGGAAAGACCCCAUGAACCUUUACUGUAGCUUUGUAUUGGACUUUGAACAGAUCUGUGUAGGAUAGGUGGGAGGCUUUGAAGUGUGGUCGCUAGAUCGCAUGGAGCCAACGUUGAAAUACCACCCUGGUGUGUUUGAGGUUCUAACCUAGGCCCGUAAUCCGGGUCGGGGACAGUGCAUGGUAGGCAGUUUGACUGGGGCGGUCUCCUCCCAAAGCGUAACGGAGGAGUUCGAAGGUACGCUAGGUACGGUCGGACAUCGUGCUAAUAGUGCAAUGGCAUAAGCGUGCUUAACUGCGAGACUGACGAGUCGAGCAGAUGCGAAAGCAGGACAUAGUGAUCCGGUGGUUCUGUAUGGAAGGGCCAUCGCUCAACGGAUAAAAGGUACUCUGGGGAUAACAGGCUGAUACCGCCCAAGAGUUCAUAUCGACAGCGGUGUUUGGCACCUCGAUGUCGGCUCAUCUCAUCCUGGGGCUGUAGCCGGUCCCAAGGGUAUGGCUGUUCGCCAUUUAAAGAGGUACGUGAGCUGGGUUUAAAACGUCGUGAGACAGUUUGGUCCCUAUCUUCCGUGGGCGCUCAGAUUUGAGGAAGCCUGCUCCUAGUACGAGAGGACCGGAGUGGACACACCUCUGGUGUAUCGGUUGUCACGCCAGUGGCAUUGCCGAGUAGCUAUGUGUGGAAGAGAUAACCGCUGAAAGCAUCUAAGCGGGAAACUCGUUUCAAGAUGAGAUCUGCCGGGGCCUUGAGCCCCCUAAAGAGUCGUUCAAGACCAGGACGUUGAUAGGUCGGGUGUGGAAGCGCAGUAAUGCGUUAAGCUAACCGAUACUAAUUGCUCGUGCGGCUUGACC